rnacentral:rRNA from 1 species
UACGGAGGGUGCAAACGUUGCUCGGAAUUAUUGGGCGUAAAGCGCACGUAGGCGGUUUCGUAAGUCGGAUGUGAAAGCCCAGGGCUCAACCCUGGAAGUGCAUUCGAAACUGCGGAGCUUGAGUAUGGAAGAGGGUCGCGGAAUUCCCGGUGUAGAGGUGAAAUUCGUAGAUAUCGGGAGGAACACCAGUGGCGAAGGGGCGACCUGGGCCAAUACUGACGCUGAGGUGCGAAAGCGUGGGGAGCAAACAGG